GUGCUAGUUCAGCAGCACACAUACUAAAACUGGAAUUAUACAGAGAUUAGCAUGGCCUCUGAACUAGGAUAACACACAAAACUGUGAAGCAUCCCAUAAAAAA